UGAGGAAUAUUGGGCAAUGCCCGAAAGGGUGACCCAGCAACGCCGCGUGGAGGAUGAAGGUCGUAAGAUUGUAAACUCCUGUUAGAGGGGAAGAAUAACUAAGUUUGGAGCUUAGUAUGACUGUACCCUCAGAGAAAGCCCCGGCUAACUACGUGCCAGCAGCCGCGGUAAUACGUAGGGGGCAAGCGUUGUCCGGAUUUACUGGGUGUAAAGGGCGCGCAGGCGGAAUGGAAAGUCAGUGGUGAAAUCCUACAGCUUAACUGUAGAACUGCCUUUGAUACUUUCAUUCUUGAGUUCGGGAGAGAGAGACGGAAUUCCAGGUGUAGUGGUGAAAUACGUAGAUAUCUGGAAGAACACCAGUUGCGAAGGCGGUCUCUUGGUCCGAUACUGACGCUGAGGCGCGAAAGCGUGGGGGGAGACAAACGAGGAUUAGACGACCCGUAGUACG
rnacentral:rRNA from 1 species